UUGACCUCUUGGUUAUUUCCUCAUGAUCUGAUGUUUUGAUGCAUUUUGUGUUUCUGUUCGUGUCCCUGCAGCACUUUGUGCCUUUGUGGUAUAACGGGACUGAAAACAACAUAUGGUUGGACACAUAUGACAGGAUGAUACACAUGUGAAGUGUGUUUAAGGAUUGUGAUUAAAGAUAUAUAUUAUUCCGCUAGGACAGGUAUGUAAAAUAAAAUUGAAUUUGCCUCUAUAUGAUCAGUGGUUACAAGCUAUAUCUACUUAUCUUGUUGUUCUCAAAUCUCUAGGGUGCUAUUAUGGCUGUUGGUUCUAGUUUAAAAUGCAGGUUCUGGUUUUGGUUUUCAAAAACUGUAGGUUCUGGUUUUGGUUUUCAAAAUGCAGGUUCUGGUUUUUCAAAAACUGCAGGUUCUAGUUUAAAUUGCAGGUUUUGGUUUUGGUUUUUGAAAUGCAGGUUCUUGUUUUUAAAGUUUCACGUUUUGGUUGUAGAUGAGCUCAGAACCAACUUCAACACUAGCAGAACAAAGAGCUACGACAUGGUGUUUAUGUUUAGUCUUUAGUAAUCAUAUUGUAAUAAGAAACGACAUGGUGUUAUGUUAUCUUCAGUGAAUUAUAUAGCCUUACUGUAUACCUCUAUUCUUUAUGUUUGGAUAAAUACAAAUUAAAACAACUUGGGAUAUUGUCUUGUUUUGAAAUUUAUGAAAUUAUUAUUUUGUUCUU